AGCUUUGCGCAGUGGCAGUAUCGUAGCCAAUGAGGUUUAUCCGAGGCGCGAUUAUUGCUAAUUGAAAAUGUUAAAGUUAAUAAAUCAGUCAGAGAAAGACAAAUACUAUAUGAUUUCAUUAAUAUGUCGAAUUGAAGAAACAA
rfam:Mustela putorius furo unplaced genomic scaffold scaffold00179, whole genome shotgun sequence.